GACAGAGGGUGCAAACGUUGUUCGGAAUUACUGGGCGUAAAGCGAGUGUAGGCGGUUUUCUAAGUCAGGUGUGAAAGCCCCGGGCUCAACCCGGGAAGUGCACUUGAAACUGGAAGGCUAGAGUAUCGGAGAGGUUGGUGGAAUUCUCGGUGUAGAGGUGAAAUUCGUAGAUAUCGAGAGGAACACCGGUGGCGAAGGCGGCCAGCUGGGCGA
rnacentral:rRNA from 1 species